CCUACGGGAGACAGCAGUGAGGAAUAUUGGUCAAUGGACGAGAGUCUGAACCAGCCAAGUAGCGUGAAGGAUGACUGCCCUAUGGGUUGUAAACUUCUUUUAUAUGGGAAUAAAACGUUCCACGUGUGGGAUUUUGUAUGUACCAUAUGAAUAAGGAUCGGCUAACUCCGUGCCAGCAGCCGCGGUAAUACGGAGGAUCCGAGCGUUAUCCGGAUUUAUUGGGUUUAAAGGGAGCGUAGGUGGAUUGUUAAGUCAGUUGUGAAAGUUUGCGGCUCAACCGUAAAAUUGCAGUUGAAACUGGCAGUCUUGAGUACAGUAGAGGUGGGCGGAAUUCGUGGUGUAGCGGUGAAAUGCUUAGAUAUCACGAAGAACUCCGAUUGCGAAGGCAGUUCACUGGACUGCAACUGACACUGAGGCUCGAAAGUGUGGGUAUCAAACAGGAUUAGAUACACGAGUAGUC
rnacentral:rRNA from 1 species